UACGCCCAUAUCACGUUGAAACACAUGUUCCCGUACGAUCACCAAAGUUAAGCAACGUCGAGCCUGGUCAGUAUCUACACAUGGGUGACCACUUAGGAAUGCCUGAUGCUGUA